rnacentral:rRNA from 1 species
CAGCCGCCGCGGUAAUACGUAGGGUGCGAGCGUUAAUCGGAAUUACUGGGCGUAAAGGGAGCGUAGGCGGGUCGUUUAGUCAGAGGUGAAAUCCCGGGGCUCAACCUCGGAACUGCCUUUGAUACUGGCGACCUUGAGUAUGGGAGAGGUAAGCGGAACUCCGAGUGUAGAGGUGAAAUUCGUAGAUAUUCGGAAGAACACCAGUGGCGAAGGCGGCUUACUGGCCCAUUACUGACGCUGAGGCUCGAAAGCGUGGGGAGCGAACAGGAUUAGAUACCCCGGUAGUCCCUGUCUCUUAUAC